rnacentral:misc_RNA from 1 species
UUGACUUAUUGUAUAAGUUACUCAGAGAGGCCUAUGAUGACGAAGAGUUUCGGGCCUCUGACGGGCUGCCGGUCCCCCGAAGGGGUACCGGCGCGGCCUGGGUCUCCCCGGGCUACCCGCCGAAGCAACGGUGAGGUAGGUUCACAAUGGUUGGGAGUUUUGCAACUCUGUAAUGAUCCCUCCGCUGGUUCACCAACGGAGA